AGACGAAAGCAGAUUCGGUUGAUCAGUCCAGGGCCUUCCCUGCCAAGAUACUGGAUUGGAAGCCUUCCCUCCACUCAGCUGAUGAGACUCGAAGUCUCUUCUUGUGACAGAAUGGUCUAGUUUAGCCUUUUGAAGCGUGAAGUUUCUAAGCACGGCCCCACUCAGAAAUGGAUGACCGCAUCCAAGUCACUGGUGGGGAGAGGAGAAUGGACGACGGACGAUGGAUGAUGGACAAUGGACACUUCACAGUGGCCAGCGAGUCUUACAAAGCUCAAGCUGGCCUCAAAUUCAUCAUGAAGUCAAGCAUGGCAUUAAAUGGCUCCUUCUGCCUCCAAGAACCCCCAGGUACCAGGAUGCCAGUACAUGAACCACAGAGCAUGGUAGAGCAAUGGCUUCAUGGAACCCACCAGGAGUGCUCCUGAUUCAGUGCUGCUAACCUCCCAGGAUUCAGUCCCAUUGCGGGCGGGCCUCGUGCUAAGCGAUCUCAACACUGACGUUACACACGAGGAAGGAGACAAAGAGUGUGGAUGUUCACGUCCAAGUCUCAAAAGCCAGAGGCUAUGGCUGUCUUCUAUAAUCCCGCAGCACAGCCCUGCUGUAUCACUGGGAAAUUAUGUGCUGGUGUCUCCCUUCAAAUAAAGUUUUAUUGAAACACAAA
rnacentral:lncRNA from 1 species